rnacentral:rRNA from 1 species
AGCGUAUAUUAAAGUUGUUGCAGUUAAAAAGCUCGUAGUUGAAUUUCGGGGUUCAUCCGUUGGUCGGGCUUUUUUGGUCUGUACUGGCGUGAUGGAUUCCUACCUUCUGAAUAACCAGCAUGUCAUUAAUUUGGUGCGCUGGGGAAGCAGGACUGUUACCUUGAAAAAAUUAGAGUGCUUAAAGCAGGCUAUCGCCUGAAUACAUUAGCAUGGAAUAAUGAAAUAGGACGGCAUGGUUCUAUUUUGUUGGUUUCUAGGAUCACCGUAAUGAUUAAUAGGGAUAGUUGGGGGCAUUAGUAUUCAAUUGUCAGAGGUGAAAUUCUUGGAUUUAUUGAAGACUAACUUCUGCGAAAGCAUUUGCCAAGGAUGUUUUCAUUAAUCAAGAACGAAAGUUAGGGGAUCGAAGACGAUCAGAUACCGUCGUAGUCUUAACCAUAAACUAUGCCGACUAGGGAUCGGACGAUGUUAAUUUUUUAAUGACUC